UCUUCUGUCCGAUUGGAUACAGAGCGUCUACGAACAGGCCUGUUCCAACUUUUUGUCCUAAUAAGAAAGUGAUUCAAAUGACCACUACUGCUACUGCAGCUGCAGAGGAAUCACCAUCUCAGCCUGGAUUUGAGUCAGAGAUGUUAAUAUUAAAAGUGAGCAAAAAAGCCUUGGAAACUGGCACAGACAAUCAUCAUAUUGGAGACAGUGAUCCAGCUGGUCCUCAGAUCCCCGUCCUGGAUUUCACUAAAUCCAGUCCAGGACUGAAGAGGAGGAAGAGAGACUGGGUUAUCCCUCCCUUAAACAUU